rnacentral:hammerhead_ribozyme from 1 species
AUCCAGUUGACGAGUCCCAAAUAGGACGAAACGUGCGUUAAUCUGGAU